GCACGGAAACGCCGGUUCUCCUUUGAUCACCGAAGUUAAGCAGUGUUGAACCCAGUUAGUACUUAGGAGACCACUAGGGAGCACCGGAU